CGCGUAGGCGGUUCCCUAAGUCGCCGGUGAAAUCGCUCGGCUUAACCGGGCAAUGGCCGGCGAUACUGGGGAACUUGAGUCCGGGAGAGGAGAGUGGAAUUGCCGGUAUAGCGGUGAAAUGCGUAGAGAUCGGCAAGAACACCCGUGGCGAAGGCGGCUCUCUGGACCGGCACUGACGCUGAGGCGCGAAAGCUAGGGGAGCGAACGGGAUUAGAUACCCCGGUAGUCCUAGCCGUAAACGAUGGUCACUAGGUGUUGGCGGUAUCGACCCCGCCAGUGCCGAAGCUAACGCAUUAAGUGACCCGCCUGGGGAGUACGGCCGCAAGGUUGAA
rnacentral:rRNA from 1 species